rnacentral:rRNA from 1 species
CAGCCGCCGCGGUAAUACGAAGGGGGCUAGCGUUGUUCGGAAUUACUGGGCGUAAAGCGCACGUAGGCGGACAUUUAAGUCAGGGGUGAAAUCCCGGGGCUCAACCACGGAACUGCCUUUGAUACUGGGUGUCUAGAGUAUGGAAGAGGUGAGUGGAAUUCCGAGUGUAGAGGUGAAAUUCGUAGAUAUUCGGAGGAACACCAGUGGCGAAGGCGGCUCACUGGUCCAUUACUGACGCUGAGGUGCGAAAGCGUGGGGAGCAAACAGGAUUAGAUACCCCGGUAGUCCCUGUCUCUUAUAC